ACUUUUGCAGUUUACCAACACUGUUUGUGUGUUUUAUCAACACCGGCAUUUUUGGCGUAAAGCUUUUAUUUCAAUGGCCGUUUUUUACUUUUAAUUAAAUAGUUAGGUACUUACCCCAUUUUCAAUUUAAUUGGUCCGAAGUCGGAAAACAAUCUAUGAGAUUUAAGGCUAACCAUGGAACCUUGGAGCGCCAGCAGCAUCUAUUCUUUCUGGAUACUUUCAAUUGUUUUUUGUCCAGCUUACUCUGCUUGUAAAAAAGGUCAACCCGAUGCUGGACAGGAUUUCCCAACUCAGUUAUCAGUAUGAUCGGCGUCAACCUAACUACAUAACUCAUUCACACAUCUUGUCGGGAUCAUCCUUACGAGCGUCCGGAAGAAGCCAUAGCUUUUAAGCUCCAUUAAGCCUUUAUAAUAUACAUAAGCAAUAUAAUUGAAAGACUACAGCAAAAACACAAUGUUCCCUUUUAAAGUUUUAUUAUCCUCUAAAUUCUUUUGUUCCUUCAGCGAAAUUUCUUACUAAACUGCCUCGUAUUUAAUUAAUUUUUUAAAGGCCGCACGUUUUUUUAUUAAAACAAUGAAAAUACAUUGGCUUUAAAAUAAGGAUGAGCUCAUGGGCGUGUUUAAAGACCGGUUUCCAAAGCAUGCCAACGAGCAAGCCGAAAAAACUCAUAAAACCACGAAAUGCAGCACGUGGUAAACGCACUUAACAGGUAACACCCAUUUGGGGCAAUGAUGAUAAGGUCCACGAGGAGAGAAAAGAAGUGAUGGAGCAAAAGUUGGGGAGCCUUUUCUUAAAGUAUAGUUGCCCCAAAUAGAAAUGCAAGGUGUACCAUCUACAACAGCCGAAAACAAGGCCAAUUCCGAGGAUAAAACAACUACAUGAGAGGAUUCAGCAGCACAACAUCGUAGACAGCAGUACAAACAUUUAAAACCGCAAACACCAACCAACUUGGCAGCAACAUAGGAGACCGCAGAAACAAUGCCACGCUUCUCAAAGUGCUCCCAAGUUGCCUCUGCCGCUGCCACUUCCACGCCGGCCCAUGCCUUUGGAAUCCCAUACUUAAUGUGAAUGAGAGCCGUUUAGAAUCGCGGUUAUGAGGAGCAUCCAAUGGCGACGGGGAGUGGAGCUCGAGGGACAGUUAAUAAACUUCUGGCAGGGCCCGAAACUUGGUCUAAAACCAUGGCGAGAAAGUUGAGAAGCGCAGAGAAAUUAGUUGGCAAGACGUGCGUAAGGUGUGUUACGGACAGUUCCGCUUCAGACCGUAAACCAGAGGGAUCCAAUGUGGUUCGGUCCCGGGAAUCUUGUCAGUCAGUCACUUAGACCGUUUUGGGGCCAAGCACAGAGAGAAAAUGGCGGCGACAUUAUCCCACUGACACCGCCUCCGCCUCCGCCACCGCCAGGACCUGCCCCACUGCCGGUGGCCACAACUGCCAGGACACUGCCACUGCUGUCCACCGGAUUCACUCCUCCGGCGCCUCCGA